rnacentral:rRNA from 1 species
GUGAGGGCUGUCGCUGACUCAAAGUCGUGCACGCCCGAGUGUGUCCUCUCACAUAAUAAUCCAUMUCACCCUUUGUGCAUCGCCGCGUGAGCACCCUUUGGGAUCAUCUCGGAGGGGGCUCGCGUUUUCACACAAACCCCCCUUUUAAAAGUGUAGAAUGACCUCAUUUAUGCGCUAACACGCAAUCAAUACAACUUUCAACAACGGAUCUCUUGGCUCUCGCAUCGAUGAAGAACGCAGCGAAAUGCGAUACGUAAUGUGAAUUGCAGAAUUCAGUGAAUCAUCGAAUCUUUGAACGCACCUUGCGCCCCUUGGUAUUCCGAGGGGCACACCCGUUUGAGUGUCGUGAAAACCUCAACCUCCUUGGUUUCUUCUGGAGACCAAAGGCAGGCUUGGACUUUGGAGGCCCUUGCUGGAACCUCUCUCUUUUGAAGGCCAGCUCCUCUUAAACGAAUUAGCAGGGUCCUCUUUGCCGAUCCUCGACGUGUGAUAAGAUGUUUCCAUGUCUUGGUUUCUGGCUCUGUCACUUUUGGGACCCGCUUCUAACCGUCUUGACCUUGCAUCGAGACAAUGUUCGAGCAUGUCUCCCUUCUCGGGAAGCUCCCUCGACCCCACGAACCCUUGACCUCAAAUCGGGUGAGACUACCCGCUGAACUUAAGCAUAUCAAUAAGCGGAGGAAAAGAAACUAACAAGGAUUCCCCUAGUAACUGCGAGUGAAGCGGGAAAAGCUCAAAUUUAAAAUCUGGCGGUCUUUGGCCGUCCGAGUUGUAAUUUAGAGAAGCGUCUUCCGCGCUGGACCGU